CACAUGUACCCUAGAACUUAAAGUAUAAUUACAAAAAAAAAAAGGAAUUUUGAAGACAACAACAAAAAAAUCUGUCCCACUUUCCUUUGUACACAGCCAGAUUACAUUUUUCAGCCUUGGUUGCAGUUAGAUUGAGCAUGUGAAUAAGUUCUCGCCAAUGUCCUCUGAGUGGGAGUGGAGAGUGCCACAGCCAGGCCUGGCCCAUACAAAUGCUUCAUAGUCACACUUCUGCUCCUGCCUUUUCCAGGUGACGGGGGAUUGACACCUAUGGCAACUUCAGAAACCAUGAGUUAAGGAUGGCAAAGCCACCAUAGUCUAGAUUAGGAGUGAGUAAACUACAGCUUGAGGGCCAGAUCUGGCCCAUUGUCUUUUUAAAAAUAAAGUUUUAUUGAAGCACAGCCAUGCCUAUUUGCAUAGGUAUUGUUGAAGGGCUACCUUUACUACCACAGCAGUUGCCACAGACAGCCCAUGGCCUGCAAAGCCCAAAGUAUGUACUAUCUGACCAUUUAUAGGGAAAGUUUGCCGACACCCUAAUUUAGAUCUCUGAAUGACCAUAUGGAGGACAGUCACCUUAUUGACCUGAACAACACUCUAGGCCUUUACCUAAGUGGAAAAUAAGCCAUUGAAAUUUAGGGCCUAUUUGCUACCAUAGUUUACCCUACUCUCACUAAUAAGUCUUGCUCAGCAGUCUCAAGGUGAUUGCCUGAUGAAUAUACAUGGCCCGAUUUCCAGUUGUUUGAGCCAAUGAGGCUGACUAGUUAUGCCCACGGAAGUACAACUCUCUUCUCUACGACCCAUCGCCAGGCCAAAAUUUCCACCAGAUGCUCUGACCAGUCGGUCCCAGGACCUGAUUGACCUCAGGGAGUCUGACCCCCUAGGUAUAACACAGCAUCAUGGGCCUGGGAAGGUAUAAACAUAAUACAACUCCUGCCUGAUGAACUGAAUGUUAACAGGAAGAUGUUCCCUGAAGCUCAAGGAAAUGACUUUGGUGACAGUGACCCUUGCCAGAGCCAAUGGCUUGUCACCUACCUGGUGGUCAUGAUGGUGAUCACGGCUGUUCCUGCUUUCAUGUAACUAACUUGCCUUCAGUGGUUCACUUUUCCCAUUAAGUGAAUUUCUUCGGUGAUACAAUUUUGUAAACUAGAAGUGUUUUUACUGUCAUUUCUUUAUGUACUUUUUAUUUUUACCUUCAUUUUAAUUUUAAAAACUGCACUCACGUUUUCCUUGCAUACCUCUAAUUAUUGCAAGUUAUACAGGUUUUACACUUAAGGAAAUGGUAUGAAGUCUCCUUUUUGAGUGAGCAUGCUGAAGUAAAAAGAGUGACUUCAUUUAAAGAAAACUGCUCAUAGAAGUACAGAUGAUACG